UCCUUGAAGUCUAUGAUCUCUGUUGGAAGUUUUGCCUGGGCCACAAGCUCUGCUAACUCUCCAGCCUUCCCACUGCUAAUGCUGCCUUUGAAGGAGGUGCAGCAUCUGCUGAUAUUGAUUGGGCCUGAAGACUCUUGAAUACUCCCAACACUUUCAGAACAAAACUUCAAACAACAUAGGAUGCAAACCCAGUAAAGCAAGCGCCGCAUCAAGCACAGACAUAUCGGUGCCUGCCCUGAGGGUAAAGACAGUCUUCAAAUGGGUGGACAGCAACGCUGUAUGUUUUGCCUGCAUACAGCACAUAUGUGCCUGCUACUUGCUGAUGCCAGAGGAAGGAACUGGAAGCCCUGUAUGUGGAGUUACCAUGUGGGACUUGGAAACAGCAUUCAGAUUCUCUGCAAGAGCAACAGGUCCCAGGAAUUAAAUACAAGCUGUCAAUCUUCGCAGCGAGUACCUGGGCCAGGUUGACUCAUCUCGGAAUGACUGAAAAGAACAAAAAGAAACACCAGAAACUUUGAGAAAGCUGAAUUUAAGGUGUCACCUUGGUGUCUGAGAGCCAGUUCUGAGCAGCAGAUGCAAGUAGCCAUGAAUUAAGCCUGGCCAUUCCCAUCCCACUAUCUCCAGUCUUAAAACAGCAACAUCGACAAAUAAACCAGCUUACUACUGACAACGAGAGAUAAUUCAGAUACCGUACAGAAUCUAUAAGGCUUCUGGUUGUUUCAUUUGGACACAAGUUGUACAUUUAUCAAGUAUACCCCACAGUCAUUUACUCCCUGAACUCUUGAGUCUUUUGUUAAUCUAUCUGUGUCUGGUCAGACGGAUCUUGGCCAGGCACAUGGCUUCUGCAUGGCAGCUCCUUUUGUGCACACUCUCUCAUGCAAGUGUUCCUGUUCCCUACUAUCUGGAAUUAUAAACGAUGUGACUAACA